rnacentral:rRNA from 1 species
GUGGGGAAUUUUGCACAAUGGGCGCAAGCCUGAUGCAGCAACGCCGCGUGAGUGAUGACGGCUUUCGGGUUGUAAAGCUCUGUCGCCUGGGACAAACGGCGCGCUAACUAAUAAGUAGUGCGAGUGAUGGUACCAGGAGAGGAAGAGGCGGCUAACUCUGUGCCAGCAGCCGCGGUAAUACAGAGGCCUCAAGCGUUGUUCGGAAUUACUGGGCGUAAAGCGAAUGUAGGUGGUGAUGCAAGUCAGAUGUGAAAGCCCUGGGCUCAACCCGGGAAUUGCAUUUGAUACUGCGACGCUAGAGUGCGGGAGAGGUAAGUGGAAUUCCUGGUGUAGGGGUGAAAUCCGUAGAUAUCAGGAGGAAUACCGAUGGCGUAGGCAACUUACUGGCCCGUAACUGACACUGAGAUUCGAAAGCAUGGGUAGCAAACAGGAUUAGAAACCCUGGUAGUCC